AAAGCGAGCGGCGGAUGGGUGAGUAACACGUGGGGAACCUGCCCCUAAGUCUGGGAUACCAUUUGGAAACAGGUGCUAAUACCGGAUAAUAAAGCAGAUCGCAUGAUCAGCUUUUGAAAGGCGGCGUAAGCUGUCGCUAAGGGAUGGCCCCGCGGUGCAUUAGCUAGUUGGUAAGGUAACGGCUUACCAAGGCGACGAUGCAUAGCCGAGUUGAGAGACUGAUCGGCCACAUUGGGACUGAGACACGGCCCAAACUCCUACGGGAGGCAGCAGUAGGGAAUCUUCCACAAUGGACGCAAGUCUGAUGGAGCAACGCCGCGUGAGUGAAGAAGGUUUUCGGAUCGUAAAGCUCUGUUGUUGGUGAAGAAGGAUAGAGGUAGUAACUGGCCUUUAUUUGACGGUAAUCAACCAGAAAGUCACGGCUAACUACGUGCCAGCAGCCGCGGUAAUACGUAGGUGGCAAGCGUUGUCCGGAUUUAUUGGGCGUAAAGCGAGCGCAGGCGGAAAAAUAAGUCUAAUGUGAAAGCCCUCGGCUUAACCGAGGAACUGCAUCGGAAACUGUUUUUCUUGAGUGCAGAAGAGGAGAGUGGAACUCCAUGUGUAGCGGUGGAAUGCGUAGAUAUAUGGAAGAACACCAGUGGCGAAGGCGGCUCUCUGGUCUGCAACUGACGCUGAGGCUCGAAAGCAUGGGUAGCGAACAGGAUUAGAUACCCUGGUAGUCCAUGCCGUAAACGAUGAGUGCUAAAGUGUUGGGAGGUUUCCGCCUCUCA
rnacentral:rRNA from 1 species